rnacentral:rRNA from 2 species
GUGCCUAAUACAUGCAAGUCGUGCGGACCUUUUAAAAGCUUGCUUUUAAAAGGUUAGCGGCGGACGGGUGAGUAACACGUGGGCAACCUGCCUGUAAGACUGGGAUAACGCCGGGAAACCGGGGCUAAUACCAGAUAGUUUUUUCCUCCGCAUGGAGGAAAAAGGAAAGGCGGCUUCGGCUGCCACUUACAGAUGGGCCCGCGGCGCAUUAGCUAGUUGGCGGGGUAACGGCCCACCAAGGCAACGAUGCGUAGCCGACCUGAGAGGGUGAUCGGCCACAUUGGGACUGAGACACGGCCCAAACUCCUACGGGAGGCAGCAGUAGGGAAUCUUCCGCAAUGGACGAAAGUCUGACGGAGCAACGCCGCGUGAGUGAAGAAGGCCUUCGGGUCGUAAAACUCUGUUGCCGGGGAAGAACAAGUGCCGUUCGAACAGGGCGGCGCCUUGACGGUACCCGGCCAGAAAGCCACGGCUAACUACGUGCCAGCAGCCGCGGUAAUACGUAGGUGGCAAGCGUUGUCCGGAAUUAUUGGGCGUAAAGCGCGCGCAGGCGGCUUCUUAAGUCUGAUGUGAAAUCUUGCGGCUCAACCGCAAGCGGUCAUUGGAAACUGGGAGGCUUGAGUGCAGAAGAGGAGAGUGGAAUUCCACGUGUAGCGGUGAAAUGCGUAGAGAUGUGGAGGAACACCAGUGGCGAAGGCGGCUCUCUGGUCUGUAACUGACGCUGAGGCGCGAAAGCGUGGGGAGCAAACAGGAUUAGAUACCCUGGUAGUCCACGCCGUAAACGAUGAGUGCUAAGUGUUAGAGGGUUUCCGCCCUUUAGUGCUGCAGCUAACGCAUUAAGCACUCCGCCUGGGGAGUACGGCCGCAAGGCUGAAACUCAAAGGAAUUGACGGGGGCCCGCACAAGCGGUGGAGCAUGUGGUUUAAUUCGAAGCAACGCGAAGAACCUUACCAGGUCUUGACAUCCUCUGACCUCCCUGGAGACAGGGCCUUCCCCUUCGGGGGACAGAGUGACAGGUGGUGCAUGGUUGUCGUCAGCUCGUGUCGUGAGAUGUUGGGUUAAGUCCCGCAACGAGCGCAACCCUUGACCUUAGUUGCCAGCAUUCAGUUGGGCACUCUAAGGUGACUGCCGGUGACAAACCGGAGGAAGGUGGGGAUGACGUCAAAUCAUCAUGCCCCUUAUGACCUGGGCUACACACGUGCUACAAUGGAUGGUACAAAGGGCUGCGAGACCGCGAGGUUAAGCCAAUCCCAGAAAACCAUUCCCAGUUCGGAUUGCAGGCUGCAACCCGCCUGCAUGAAGCCGGAAUCGCUAGUAAUCGCGGAUCAGCAUGCCGCGGUGAA